GUGGGCAGUGCCCAGGGAGGGGACAGCUGUGCCCUGUCACCCACUGCACCCAGGCCCUGGGCUGCAGCUGCUUUGGUCGUGGCUCAGAGCUGCUCCUGUUACCACCACUCUUGUCCCCAGCUCUGGAAGACCCAAUUCCUGAUGCUCUGCUGAGCAGCCAGCCAGUUAGCAGCCAGAAAAGUCAUUCCUUACAGCAGGUGGAUUUGACAGGUUGGGCUGGCUAGAGGGGAGUGUUGUCCUUCUGCAUCUCCAGUUUGGUGCAGCUCUUUCUGCUCCCAGUGACUUUAAGUUUGCUGAUAAAUGAAAUUAGACAUUGAAAGAUGAAAGAAACAAUGGGCGAGAAAAACCCCUAAAUUCCAUAAGAAUUAAAAAUUAAAAGGGAGGGUUAUACAUUAGAGGGAAAUCUUUGGGAUCAGGUGUUCUGGGAAGUCUGAACCUCUCAAGUACCUCAGCUAAUGGGGAAAGAGAGAAGGGAAAUGUGGGAAAUUGGGAUAAAAAGGAAGGCUGAGUCCUGUGGUGGUGUUUGAGGUUCCCCAGGAUGAGGGAAGAGAUGAGAAUUUGACUCCAUGUUUCAGAAGGCUGAUUUAUUAUUUUAUGAUA